AAAAAGAUAAAUCAUAGGUUUCCGUGUCCAACGUUUGACUGUCCGUCUUAUAUGAAAUUUUUUAUAAUUAGUAUUUUCAUUGUUGUUAGAUGAUAAAAUAUGAUUAAUAUUUUAUGCGUGACUUGGUCUUUUUAAUUUUUUUCAUAAUUUUUUCAAAUAAAACGGACAGUCAAACGUUGGACACGGAAACCCAGGGUUUGUCUUUUU
rfam:Oryza nivara chromosome 1, whole genome shotgun sequence.